rnacentral:rRNA from 1 species
GCGGCAAACGGGUGAGUAAUAUCUGGGAAUCUACCCAAAAGAGGGGGAUAACUACUAGAAAUGGUAGCUAAUACCGCAUAAAGUUGAAAAACCAAAGUGGGGGACCUUAAAAGGCCUCAUGCUUUUGGAUGAGCCCAGAAGAGAUUAGCUUGUUGGUAAGGUAAAAGCUUACCAAGGCCACGAUCUCUAGCUGGUCUGAGAGGAUAACCAGCCACACUGGAACUGAGACACGGUCCAGACUCCUACGGGAGGCAGCAGUGGGGAAUAUUGCACAAUGGGCGAAAGCCUGAUGCAGCUAUGCCGCGUGUAUGAAGAAGGCCUUAGGGUUGUAAAGUACUUUCAGCGGGGAGGAAAAAAAUACAACUAAUA